GAUGAACGCUGGCGGCGUGCCUAAUACAUGCAAGUCGAGCGAACGGACGAGAAGCUUGCUUCUCUGAUGUUAGCGGCGGACGGGUGAGUAACACGUGGAUAACCUACCUAUAAGACUGGGAUAACUUCGGGAAACCGGAGCUAAUACCGGAUAAUAUUUUGAACCGCAUGGUUCAAAAGUGAAAGACGGUCUUGCUGUCACUUAUAGAUGGAUCCGCGCUGCAUUAGCUAGUUGGUAAGGUAACGGCUUACCAAGGCAACGAUGCAUAGCCGACCUGGGAGGGUGAUCGGCCACACUGGAACUGAGAAACGGUCCAGACUCCUACGGGAGGCAGCAGUAGGGAAUCUUCCGCAAUGGGCGAAAGCCUGACGGAGCAACGCCGCGUGAGUGAUGAAGGUCUUCGGAUCGUAAAACUCUGUUAUUAGGGAAGAACAUAUGUGUAAGUAACUGUGCACAUCUUGACGGUACCUAAUCAGAAAGCCACGGCUAACUACGUG
rnacentral:rRNA from 1 species